rnacentral:rRNA from 1 species
AAUGAACGCUGGCGGCAGGCCUAACACAUGCAAGUCGAGCGAGCGGCGGACGGGUGAGUAAGGUAUGGGGAAUGCCCGAUAGAGGGGGAUAACUACUGGAAACGGUGGUUAAUACCGCAUACUAUCGGAUAACCCAUAUGGGAUUAGCUAGUGGGUGGGGUAAAGGCUCACCUUGGCGACGAUCUCUAGCUGGUCUGAGAGGAUGAUCGGCCACUCUGGGACUGAUACACGGUCCAGACUCCUACGGAGGCAGCAGUGGGGAAUAUUGCACAAUGGUCGCAAGCCUGAUACAGCCAUGCCGCGUGUUUGCAGAAGGCCUUAGGUUUGUAAAGUACUUUCAGCGGGGAGGCGUUACCCGCACAAGAAGCACCGGCUAACUCCGUGCCAGCAGCCGCGGUAAUAC